rnacentral:lncRNA from 1 species
GUGACAUCAAAUCUCAGCACCUUUCUUCUGUUUUAUAUAAAGGCAGCUCGGCUUAGAAAGGUUACCCAAUUCCUAGAUUCCCAGGGCCAGGGAAAUGACCUGCCUUCACCCCCUCUACACAAGGUAUGGCUUAUACAGAGAGUUAGUGUGAGUAAAGUCCUGUGUGUUAUACAGAGAGUUAGUGUGAGUAAAGUCCUGUGUGUUAUACAGAGAGUUAGUGUCAGUGAAGUCCUGUGUCUUAUACAGAGAGUUAGUGUGAGUGAAGUCCUCUGUGUGAUACAGAGAGUUAGUGUCAGUGAAGUCCUGUGUGUUAUACAGAGAGUUAGUGUCAGUGAAGUCCUGUGUGUUAUACAGAGUUAGUGUGAGAAGUCCUGUGUGUUAUACAGAGUUAGUGUGAGUGUGUGAAGUCCUGUGUGUUAUACAGAGAGUAAGUGUGAGUGUGUGUGAAAACCUGUGUGUUAUACAGAGAGUUAGUGUGAGUGUGUGUGAAGACCUGUGUGUUAUACAGAGAGUUAGUGUGAGUGUGUGAAGUCCUGUGUGUUAUACAGAGAGUUAGUGUGAGUGGUGUCCUGUGUGUUAUACAGAGAGUUAGUGUGAGUGUGUGAAGUCCUGUGUGUUAUACAGAGAGUUAGUGUGAGUGUGUGUGAAGACCUGUGUGUUAUACAGAGAGUUAGUGUGAGUGUGUGAAGUCCUGUGUGUUAUACAGAGAGUUAGUGUGAGUGGUGUCCUGUGUGUUAUACAGAGAGUUAGUGUGAGUGUGUGAAGUCCUGUGUGUUAUACAGAGAGUUAGUGUGAGUGUGUGUGAAGACCUGUGUGUUAUACAGAGAGUUAGUGUGAGUGUGUGAAGUCCUGUGUGUUAUACAGAGAGUUAGUGUGAGUGUGUGAAGUCCUGUGUGUUAUGCAGAGAGUUAGUGUGAGUGUGUGUGAAAUCGCGUGUGUUAUACAGAGAGUUAGUGUGAGUGCGUGUGUUAUACAGAGAGUUAGUGUGAGUGUGUGAAGUCCUGUGUGUUAUGCAGAGAGUUAGUGUGAGUGUGUGUGAAGUCCUGUGUGUUAUACAGAGAGUUAGUGUGAGUGUGUGAAGUCCUGUGUGUUAUGCAGAGAGUUAGUGUGAGUGUGUGUGAAGUCGCGUGUGUUAUACAGAGAGUUAGUGUGAGUGCGUGUGUUAUACAGAGAGUUAGUGUGAGUGUGUUAUACAGAGAGUUAGUGUGAGUGCGUGUGUUAUACAGAGAGUUGGUGUGAGUGUGUGUUAUACAGAGAGUUAGUGUGAGUGCGUGUGUUAUACAGAGAGUUAGUGUGAGUGUGUGUGUUAUACAGAGAGUUGGUGUGAGUGUGUGUGUUAUACAGAGAGUUAGUGUGAGUGCGUGUGUUAUACAGAGAGUUAGUGUGAGUGUGUGUGUUAUACAGAGAGUUGGUGUGAGUGUGUUAUAGAGAGUUCAGUAAUUUGAGGGGUUGGUAGUUUGUGCUAAUGUAUCUGAAGUUCUGUAUUUAGAAUGUACAGUAACCAAUGGAAUCAUUGAUAGAUUUUGUAAAACUAGAGAAAUGUCUCUGUAUUUGCCGGAAAGCGGUUUUACCAAAAUGGAGCCAGUACAAAGCUGAGGCACUCACUGGGUAUUACGUUAUAAGAAGUAUAAAGGGGGGGAGGGGAGGGGUAGAUUAAUAAUGGAUAGAGUUUAAUUAAUAUCAAGAAAUGAGGAAUUAUCCUGCAUGACUGGAGCAGCUGAGUCUAAUAUGACUAAAAGUUAAUAUUUGGCUUCCACACAGACUGAUUUAGGAAAAUAGCUGCCUUUUAGUUUGGUUUUCGUGUUACCCUGAGUUGUGCGAUUAACUCGUAUUGUUGUUGGUUCCUUUUUUUCUUUACAGAUUAAAUAAUGUGAGAAUUAUUGGAUAAUGGCAGAUUGUGUACCGGGGAGUGGAAGAAGGAUCUGGUAUAUUGACGUCGCUGCUUAUUUAUAUAAACUGCAAUGUCUGCCCUGAUCAGCAGGUAGGAUAGGCAGCAAUGGGUUAAAUCCUCGGACUCUCAUAACCAGGCAUUGUCUGAGCUUUGUAAAGAAUAAUCCUCUGAGAUAUGCCAAGAGCGAAUAAAACUAAACAAUACAGGAUUCAUUUACUAAAUGGUCACAGGAUGUGAACUAAUAGCAGGUAACAGACAGCAGGUAACAGACAGCAGGUAACAGACAGCAGGUAACAGAGAGCAGGUAACAGAAAGCAGGUAACAGAGAGCUGGUAACAGACAGCAGGUAACAGAGAGCAGGUAACAGAGAGCAGGUAACAGACAGCAGGUAACAGUGAGCAGGUAACAGAGAGCAAGUAACAGAGAGUACUAACAGAGAGCAGGUAACAGACAGCAGGUAACAGAGACCAGGUAACAGACAUCAGGUAACAGACAGCAGUUGUCUACUACGCCCCCCCCCCCAUCUGUCUGCCUGUCUUUGUCGAAUACCCUCGCUCUCUAUCUGCCUUUGUCUAAUACCCUCGCUAUCUGUCUGUCUUUGUCUAAUACCCUCCCUAUCUGUAUGUCUUUGUCUAAUACCCUCGCCAUCUGUCUUUGUCUAAUACCUUCCCUAUCUGUCUGUCUUUGUCAAAUACCCUCGCUAUCUGUCUUUGUCUAUUACCCUCACUAUCUGUCUUUGUCCAAUACCCUCGCUAUCCAUCUGUGUUUGUUCAAUACCCUCGCUAUCUGUCUUUGUCUAAUACCCUCACUAUCUGUAUGUCUUUGUUUAAUACCCUUGCUGUAACAGAUCCCCUGUUCCUAAAUGUAAUGGAGCUGCCAAAGACCGCUACCGAGCUGGAACAGGGGACAAACCACAGCACUUCUGCCCACAGUCGCCGUGGCUUGACUGGGGUCCUGGAACCGCUCCCUCCUGAAGAAUUCGCUGAGCGACAUUCAGUCCUGGACUUUCCCCAUUGAAUCCUCCACACUGGAACACAUAGUUCUGGGAGUGCAAGCCGAAAUACAUUUAUUGGCAACCACAACUGUUGUCUACCACAACAGCAACUGCCUUAUAUGCAGUUCUCCAUGCAAGGGGCACUCCCUCCUGGACCUGAGAGUAGACUACAGUAAAAACAUACACAUGAUUACAUUGGCUCUCAGGUCCAGGACACUCCCAUACAAAACAAGAUAAUCCCUCCCCUGUGCCUGGGAGAUAAUUGAGUCAAGCACUGUAUUAACUCAAUUAUCUCCAGGUACACCAAACACCCCAAAAGUACCUUAAAAAUACAUAAAACCCAACAAAGUUACAUCCCCUGAUAGCCCCGAUCUGAGUGACAAACAUAUCCAAAAAUCACCCAGAUCGGUUCAGGGAUUCAGGAAUUUCCUGGAAGUCAUAAUUUGACCGAGGGCACACAUGGUCCCAUGCCCAAAACAGUUCCAGAGAAGCAGGGCUUGCGGUCGGUCUAGUUCGGUAGUUUAAUAACCGAACAAACUACCGAACAUAGUCAAUGUUCUUACCCUGGAGCUUGUUUCCCUUGUUCGUGGGAACGUUUCCACCGAACAAAGUCUUUCUAAGUGUUGUAGAACCAAACGCGGGCGAUCAUGGAAGUCCAACGGUGUUCGGGGGUUUCAGUGUCCAAAAAUAGUUCCAUGAACUGAACGACCAAACACCGCUAACUGUGUUCAUGCGAACAAGAUGGCCGUCACCCCGUGGUCAUCCAUAGAAAAUGCAGCCACCCAGAUGAACACUUAAACCAGUGGCCUCCGGUUCGUGCGGCUGUUCGGUUCCUGAACCAUAUAGUCCAAAUACACGAACGGAGACUUUUAAUUACAUUUUACCGGGUCCAUAGUCUGUGGCCAGGAGGCUGGCAAGCGGGCUCCUCCAGGAACUUGUGACAAACUCACUUGGAAAGGGGAGUUUGUCACACUAAAUUACUAAUUUUCAUUGACUGGAUCGGUAUACAAACCUCACCGAACAGAUUGCCCUAUUUGGUUCAUAUACUGAAUAAAGUACCGAACACAUGGAUCAACCAGAACAGCCGUGUGCCACUCGUUAACCCACUUGACCUCACUAACACUUUCACAAACUGCAAUCACUUCAACAUUCUAAGUGGUCGGCUGUCGUUCAGAUGGACAAACACGAGGCGGCAGCCAUAUUGGUUUUCGAACCCACCCAGUGGUGUUUGGUCGUGGAGUGUAUGGAACUAUUAUCGGACUUCCUCCUAUGUUCGUUUCCAUUCGUCUGGGAGGUGCGGCGUUCGGUGGGAGCAAACUCCUGAACAAGAUACACGGUGUAAGCGUACGCACGAACAGUUUAUUCGCAUACAUUGUUAUAUUUCAUACUCCCAAAAGAGACCGACCGCACAGGCUGAACUCAUGGAACUCUUUUGGACAGGCGCCUUGUGUGCAGUCAGUCUAAACUAUAAACCAGUGGUGAUUCGGCUACGUUCGUGAGAUCUGAGCGCUUUUCGAAUACAUUGGGCGCUCAGAUCUAGGCUAUCCGGGGAUAUAGUACUUGAGGGGGUACCUCACUGUUAAAGGGGUGUUUUGAUGGUUAUUCCUGUACAUGUCCUGGACCUGAGAGUUAAUAUAAUUAUGUUGUGUACUUUGUGUCUAUCCCCUCGCAGGUCCAGUGGGGAAUGCCCCUGAAAUGUGUUAUUGUAGACCCCUUGCCUGGGGAUUCACAUGAAAGGCCAUCAACAUAGAAACUCGUCUCGUGAUUGUAGGGAACAGCUAUACCUGCUUUAUUACCGCUUGGACAUCUACUUGGGAAUGAUACAGCACUACUCACACUAGGGGGAAAAGACAUCUCUGGCGUCAGAAACCCCUCUUCUCUCGGGGUGGCCGCCACACUCGCUACCUGCCUGUCUUUGUCUAAUACCCUCCCUAUCUGUUUUUGUCUAAUACCCUCCCUAUUUGUCUGUCUUUGUCGAAUACCCUCGCUAUCUGUCUGUUUGUUGUAUCAUUGCUAUUUGUCUGUCUGUCUUGCAUGCUCCCUAUCAGUCUGUCUUUUUCUACAACUACCUGUCUCCCAAUUAUAUGUCACCCCCCAUGAAAUGCUGGUUUAGUGAAGUACAUGGACAUUAAAUGCAAUGCGAGGAUGGCCAAACACAAAGCGCCUAGUGAAUAGUUACAAAUGGACUUUCUUGCAUCCAAUUUAAACAAAAUUCUGUUUCAACACAAAUUACAUGAUCUUCAAGGUACCAGCAGGAUGUGUUGGUCAUUGACUGGUGCUGUCCAGCUGUACCCGUGCCUGGCCAUGUUUCACCUGAAGCGCUGUAGGAGCGGCCAGAUCCCCUGAGUUCGUCUUAUUGGGUUCUUGUCUUUGGUCUCCCUAGAAGUAGGAAAUCAGAUAGUAAAUCUGCAAUGGAGGGCGAGUAACGUCUUACAUCUGGUCUUAGACUGUCAUUCUCAGUCAGAUCCCCAGAGGGAUUAGACCGCACAUAGGGCUUUUAUUGCUAAUGAUAAUUUAAUCUCUGUCUCUUCCAAUCUGCCUGUCUCUUGUCUAAAGUUUCUCCAAUCUUACAUUGUAUUUUUCCUGUAUUUUGUUGUCCGUUACAGAAUAUCCUCUACGACCAUUUGCUCCACAUGCUGGGUUAUUUAACGAGAUCCUCUCCUCGGAAAUACACAAUAUUUAGAUUAAAAUAUAUAUAUUUUCCUGUGAAGUUUUGUUUUGAGACGAUUGGUCCCAGUGAAGAUGGGGUGACGUCUGGAAAAAGAUCUUCCCAACGUUCCAUAAAUGGGGGCUCCCUGUGAAAAGUAUCUCGAUAUGGAGGACAGCAAACAGAACACAGAACCCACCCAGUGCGCAGAGCAAGUUAAUAUAUCCAACCUGCCUCUUCCACCGGAGGAGCGUACAGACAGCACUGGACAAGAAGGGAAAUGGUGCCGCUUCCUCCCUACUGGUAUUUGGAAAGAAUCCCAUCUUCUGCUGGUAUUGGCCGGUCCUGGGGUAAGAACUGUAAUGGUAAAGUGUCUACAGAAAUGGUCGAUAUGCCGACCCGCCCCUUCUUACCCCCAACUAUCAAGGCCAGCAAAGCAUCAUUGCAGUUGUAGCUCUAUAAGAGUUGGGGGGUCUUCAUUGUCACAGUCCCUGCAUCAUAUAGGAUAUUUACUAACCCACCGUGACCCGGUAAAAGAGGAAGUGUGACUUCCCAGAAUUUGAAUACUAUGUUUACUUAUCUCUAUAUUUAAUAAAUAUGUAUAUGUGAGCUGUGAAAAAAUUAAAUGUAGAAAUUCACAGCUUUAUUACCCUGCAUCUAUGGCGGAGCAAAGGGGGCAAUCAACCCCCUAGAUUAUUCUUCGCCCCUCUUUGUGCCCCUGCCUAGAGUGCCAGUGCCCAACUAACAGGGCAGUGUAGGCGCCAGCCUACUCACAUGACAGGUAGCAUCUGUCUAAAAACACAUGGAUUUCAAGAUCAGAGACAACACUUCAGGGAGAUCAUGCCAAACUAAUCUUAUUGAUUUUUUUGAUUGGGUAACUAAAAUAACAGAUCAGGGUGGUGCAGUAGACAUUGCCUACCUAGAUUUCAGAAGGCUUUUGACACUGUUGCACUUAGAAGGCUUAUCAAUAAACUGCAAUCUUUAAGUUUGGGUUCCAAUAUUGUUGAAUGGGUAAGGCAGUGGCUGAGUGACAGGCAACAGAGGAUUGUAGUCAAUGGAGUAUAUUCAAAGCAUGGGCUUGUCACCAGUGGGUUACCUCAGGGAUCUGUACUUGGACCCAUUCUCUUUAAUAUUUUUAUUAGUGAUAUUGCAGAAGGUCUUGAUGGUAAGGU